rnacentral:tRNA from 1 species
GCACGGGUAGCUCAGUCGGUAGAGCACCUGAUUGUGAGCACCUGAACAAUAACAUCAAGGAAGUCGCAGGAUCAAAGCCUGCCCGGUGGC